ACGAACGCUGGCGGCGUGCCUAAUACAUGCAAGUCGAACGAACUUUCCCCUUCGGGGGAAGGUUAGUGGCGGACGGGUGAGUAACACGUAGGCAACCUGCCCUUAAGAUCGGGAUAACAUUCGGAAACGAAUGCUAAGACCGGAUAAACAAUUUGCUCGCAUGGGUGGAUUGGGAAACACGGUGCAAGCUGUGGCUUGGGGAUGGGCCUGCGGCGCAUUAGCUAGUUGGUGGGGUAACGGCUCACCAAGGCGACGAUGCGUAGCCG
rnacentral:rRNA from 1 species